rnacentral:rRNA from 1 species
CCUACGGGUGGCAGCAGUGAGGAAUAUUGGUCAAUGGCCGGGAGGCUGAACCAGCCAAGUCGCGUGAGGGAAGAAGGCCCUACGGGUUGUAAACCUCUUUUGUCAGGGAGCAAGGUGCAGGUCGGGACCUGCUGUGAGAGUACCUGACGACACAGCAUCGGCUAACUCGGUGCCAGCAGCCGCGGUAAUACGGAGGCUGCGAGCGUUAUCCGGAUUUAUUGGGUUUAAAGGGUGCGCAGGGGGAGGCAAAAGUCAGCGGUAAAACCGCGGGGCGAAACCCCGCUCCGCCGUUGAAACUGUGACCCUUGAGUGCGCGAAGGGUAGGCGGAAUGCGUGGUGUAGCGGGGAAAUGCAGAGAGAUCACGAGGAACACCGAUCGCGAAGG